CUCCUGAGGGGGACUACUUGACGUGUCGGUGCGGCGAAUUUAUUUCCCUUUGCCUAAGGAACGGGCUGUGCUGCGGCCCCCAUUGCCUAGGGAAAAAGCCCGGAUGUAAAAUGCUUCAGGAAACCACGAUGAACUCAUUAUUAUGUUGUGAAACUAAAUCCAUAAAGCAGUCAUGAUGAGUAACUCAGGGACUCAUCGUAAUUGGGCAGUAAUGCACAGUUUUAUCAUCUGGAGGAUUCUGGUGUGCUCAACGUGAGCGGGGAUUUACAGCAAGGUUCCCUCUCAACUGUCAAAAAAUUGGGCUACCAAGCCAUUGUUUAUUUAAUUGCUGUUAAUUUUCCACUUCUUUUCCAUCAGUUGGUUGCCAAGUUCUGUGUGAUUUAAUUGUGAACUUCACAACAUUUGGUGCCUUUCUUAAAGCUGUAGCUCCUGGACUCAUACAAUUAUGCAAGAAAGUCAGGUUUAUUUUUUUUUAAUUAAGUUUCUAGCCUGUGGGUUUGUAGAUAUGAGCUUGAAGACACAAACCUUAAAGGCACAAAAAGGAAAAGGUACGAAGCAAAUAGAGUCAUCCAAAAAUGCCUUUUUUUUU